GGUUGUGGCUCAGUGGUGGAGUGCUUGCCUAGAACGCGUAAGGCACUGGGUUCGAUACUCAGCACCA
rnacentral:tRNA from 1 species